GUUAAGCGACUAAGCGUACACGGUGGAUGCCCUGGCAGUCAGAGGCGAUGAAGGGCGUGCUAAUCUGCGAUAAGCGCCGGUAAGGUGAUAUGAACCGUUAUAACCGGCGAUACCCGAAUGGGGAAACCCAGUGUGAUUCGUCACACUAUCAUUAACUGAAUCCAUAGGUUAAUGAGGCGAACCGGGGGAACUGAAACAUCUAAGUACCCCGAGGAAAAGAAAUCAACCGAGAUUCCCCCAGUAGCGGCGAGCGAACGGGGAGGAGCCCAGAGCCUGAAUCAGCAUGUGUGUUAGUGGAAGCGUCUGGAAAGGCGCGCGAUACAGGGUGACAGCCCCGUACACAAAAGCGCAUGUGCUGUGAGCUCGAUGAGUAGGGCGGGACACGUGGUAUCCUGUCUGAAUAUGGGGGGACCAUCCUCCAAGGCUAAAUACUCCUGACUGACCGAUAGUGAACCAGUACCGUGAGGGAAAGGCGAAAAGAACCCCGGCGAGGGGAGUGAAAAAGAACCUGAAACCGUGUACGUACAAGCAGUGGGAGCACAGGUUUACCUGUGUGACUGCGUACCUUUUGUAUAAUGGGUCAGCGACUUAUAUUCUGUAGCAAGGUUAACCGUAUAGGGGAGCCGGAGGGAAACCGAGUCUUAACCGGGCGUUAAGUUGCAGGGUAUAGACCCGAAACCCGGUGAUCUAGCCAUGGGCAGGUUGAAGGUUGGGUAACACUAACUGGAGGACCGAACCGACUAAUGUUGAAAAAUUAGCGGAUGACCUGUGGCUGGGGGUGAAAGGCCAAUCAAACCGGGAGAUAGCUGGUUCUCCCCGAAAGCU
rnacentral:rRNA from 1 species